AUGUCGUGCUUUAGACUACCAAGGGGCUUAUGUAACAGUAUAACUUCCAUCAUUCAGCAGUUUUGGUGGGGGGGUAAGCAAGGAAGAAGAAAACCGAGUUGGGUUGCUUGGGAUACAAUGACACAGCCAAAACACUUGGGAGGCCUUGGAUUCCGUGACAUGGAAAUCUUUAGUUUAGCACUACUUGCGAGGCAAGCAUGUAGAAUUAUGACUGAUGAAACCUCACUAAGCGCCCGAGUACUGAAGGCUGUUUACUUUCCACACUCUACACUUUUGGAGGCAGAACUGGGUGCUCAUCCUUCUCAGAUUUGGCAAGCAGUUUUAGAUGGAAAGGAGAUCUUAGCACAGGGUAUUGUGAGGAGGAUCGGUGAUUGGGAGAGCACAAACAUAUGGGUACAUAAUUGGAUUCCGCGAGACAGCUUUGAACGGCCUAUUACAUUCCUUGUGCCUAAUCCACCAGAGAGAGUUGCGGAACUCAUCGACGCCACUACAGCACAAUGGAAUGAGGGGUUGAUCCACAUUGUGUUUACCCCAUUUCUAUGCAAAUGA
rnacentral:rRNA from 1 species